rnacentral:rRNA from 1 species
UCUGUUGUUAGGGAAGAACAAGUGCUAGUUGAAUAAGCUGGCCCCUUGACGGUACCUAACCACAAAGCCACGGCUAACUACGUGCCAACAGCCGCGGUAAUACGUAGGUGGCAAGCGUUAUCCGGAAUUAUUGGGCGUAAAGCGCGCGCAGGUGGUUUCUUAAGUCUGAUGUGAAAGCCCACGGCUCAACCGUGGAGGGUCAUUGGAAACUGGGAGACUUGAGUGCAGAAGAGGAAAGUGGAAUUCCAUGUGUAGCGGUGAAAUGCGUAGAGAUAUGGAGGAACACCAGUGGCGAAGGCGACUUUCUGGUCUGUAACUGACACUGAGGCGCGAAAGCGUGGGGAGCAAACAGGAUUAGAUACCCUGGUAGUCCACGCCGUAAACGAUGAGUGCUAAGUGUUAGAGGGUUUCCGCCCUUUAGUGCUGAAG